rnacentral:rRNA from 1 species
UGGUGGAGUGAUUUGUCUGGUUAAUUCCGUUAACGAACGAGACCUCGACCUACUAAAUAGUUCGGCGAAUUCUUCGGAAUUCGUACGUAACUUCUUAGAGGGACUAUCGGUGGUUAGCCGAUGGAAGUUCGAGGCAAUAACA